GAUGAACGCUGGCGGCGUGCCUAAUACAUGCAAGUCGAACGCAUUGUGGUUGAAAUGAUAUGAAGAACUUGUUCAGAUUUGAUUUUCAACAUUGCAAUGAGUGGCGAACGGGUGAGUAACACGUGGGAAACCUACCUCUUAGCAGGGGAUAACAUUUGGAAACAAAUGCUAAUACCGUAUAAUAAUUAAAACCGCAUGGUUUUAGUUUAAAAGAUGGUCUUGCUAUCACUAAGAGAUGGUCCCGCGGUGUAUUAGUUAGUUGGUGAGGUAAUGGCUCACCAAGACAAUGAUACAUAGCCGAGUUGAGAGACUGACCGGCCACAAUGGGACUGAGACACGGCCCAUACUCCUACGGGAGGCAGCAGUAGGGAAUCUUCCACAAUGGACGAAAGUCUGAUGGAGCAACGCCGCGUGUGUGAUGAAGGGUUUCGGCUCGUAAAACACUGUUGUAAGAGAAGAAUGACAUUGAGAGUAACUGUUCAAUGUGUGACGGUAUCUUACCAGAAAGGAACGGCUAAAUACGUGCCAGCAGCCGCGGUAAUACGUAUGUUCCAAGCGUUAUCCGGAUUUAUUGGGCGUAAAGCGAGCGCAGACGGUUAUUUAAGUCUGAAGUGAAAGCCCUCGGCUCAACCGAGGAAUUGCUUUGGAAACUGGAUAACUUGAGUGCAGUAGAGGAAAGUGGAACUCCAUGUGUAGCGGUGAAAUGCGUAGAUAUAUGGAAGAACACCAGUGGCGAAGGCGGCUUUCUGGACUGUAACUGACGUUGAGGCUCGAAAGUGUGGGUAGCAAACAGGAUUAGAUACCCUGGUAGUCCACACUGUAAACGAUGAGUGCUAGUUGUUCGAG
rnacentral:rRNA from 1 species